UACGUAGGGUGCGAGCGUUGUCCGGAUUUAUUGGGCGUAAAGAGCUUGUAGGCGGCUCGUCGCGUCGGGUGUGAAAACUUGCGGCUUAACCGCAAGCCUGCACCCGAUACGGGCGGGCUAGAGUUCGGCAGGGGAGACUGGAAUUCCUGGUGUAGCGGUGGAAUGCGCAGAUAUCAGGAGGAACACCGAUGGCGAAGGCAGGUCUCUGGGCCACUACUGACGCUGAGAAGCGAAAGCGUGGGGAGCAAACAGG
rnacentral:rRNA from 1 species